AGAUUGAACGCUGGCGGCAUGCCUUACACAUGCAAGUCGAACGGUAACAGGUUAAGCUGACGAGUGGCGAACGGGUGAGUAAUAUAUCGGAACGUGCCCAGUCGUGGGGGAUAACUGCUCGAAAGAGCAGCUAAUACCGCAUACGACCUGAGGGUGAAAGCGGGGGAUCGCAAGACCUCGCGCGAUUGGAGCGGCCGAUAUCAGAUUAGGUAGUUGGUGGGGUAAAGGCCCACCAAGCCAACGAUCUGUAGCUGGUCUGAGAGGACGACCAGCCACACUGGGACUGAGACACGGCCCAGACUCCUACGGGAGGCAGCAGUGGGGAAUUUGGACAAUGGGCGCAAGCCUGAUCCAGCCAUGCCGCGUGCGGGAAGAAGGCCUCGGGUUGUAAACCGCUUUGUCAGGAGAAAGGUUACUGGUUAAUACCUGGGCUCAUGACGGUACCUGAAGAAUAAGCACCGGCUAACUACGUGCUAGCAGCCGCGGUAA
rnacentral:rRNA from 1 species